GCCCCCGUAGUUAAAUGGAUUAUAACAGUCCCGUCCUAAGGGAUAGUUGUCAGUUCGAUUCUGGCCGGGGGCA
rnacentral:tRNA from 1 species